AGCGAACGCUGGCGGCAGGCCUAACACAUGCAAGUCGAACGAAGUCUUCGGACUUAGUGGCGGACGGGUGAGUAACACGUGGGAACGUACCUUUUGGUUCGGAACAACUCAGGGAAACUUGAGCUAAUACCGGAUGAGCCCUUAGGGGGAAAGAUUUAUCGCCGAAAGAGCGGCCCGCGUUAGAUUAGCUAGUUGGUGAGGUAAAGGCUCACCAAGGCUACGAUCUAUAGCUGGUCUGAGAGGAUGAUCAGCCACACUGGGACUGAGACACGGCCCAGACUCCUACGGGAGGCAGCAGUGGGGAAUCUUGCGCAAUGGGCGAAAGCCUGACGCAGCCAUGCCGCGUGAAUGAUGAAGGUCUUAGGAUUGUAAAAUUCUUUCGCCAGGGACGAUAAUGACGGUACCUGGAUAAGAAGCCCCGGCUAACUUCGUGCCAGCCGCCGCCGUAACAC
rnacentral:rRNA from 1 species